AUCUAACCAAAUUAAUAUGCUAACCGGCUUUAUCAUAACCAUAUAUUGAUACAAGAUUCUAUCCAAAGUUACCAUUUCAGUUUUAUAUAGUUCUUCAGAAAGGGAGAGAAGUCACAAGAAUGUAACUGCUGCAGAUUAACAGUCUCUUCCCUAUUUCUGAUAGUGGUAGUUUUAGGGCAGACAAAUUUGAGGCAGAUACAACAGUAAAUGGUGAGUUAUCGCAAUUGCAUAAUGACGCAAACGGAGGAGGAGUUACCAUUGUUUCUCGAAAUACUCUCAAUCCUUGAAGGUUCUGCUUUUGAUCCAUUUCAAUCUGUCCCUGAAAUAUUACGAAAUGGAGUGCAGACCUGCAGAAUGCGGUUUAGAGUGAAAAGUAUGGAUUGCCAGCUAAAUUACGAGAAUACAUUUUCAAACUAGAGGUAGAGUCUUUGACGGCAUGAAUAAGCACUCAGGCCUGUGACAAAACUUAAUUUGCGUCUUUUUAGGCUCAAAAGUUUGGCACAAGAAUUUUGGUUUUCGAGGAUUAGAUUGCCCAGAUAGUAAAAGACAACACGACAAAACAUAUAUUUGGUGAAGUAGUACUAAUAUGCGGAAGCAAUGGGUGAUGAUCUCCAAAGGCUAUAACUUGAUGGCAACAGAUUGCAGGGCAGCUUCAUAUGGAGUUAUAACAACAAAUAUGGACAGUGGUGUUUUAGAAAUGAGUUAAUAAUACUCUCUUGAAAAGUAGAUGGCGCUUUUAGUGGCAACGACCAACGGAGGAUCAAAAAAGCAAGAGAUGGUUAGUGUUCUCUUCUGGUCUUUUACUGUACAUGAAAUUGUGAUCUGCUGGACAUAUUCUUUCUAUUUUCAUUAACUGGGAUUUGGUUUCUGUCUUUUGUGAAAAAACUGAUCUGUGCCUUCGUCUUUAGUCUUUGUUACUUUGGAGUGGUACUUGGUGCUGUUUCUGAAAUUGAUGCAAUCUUGAUCUUAAUUACUACCAUGAAAUGAAUGUGACACAACAUUCAAGUAGACGAAAGAGGGACCGAAUAGGGCGCCAUCUGGUAAGCUUAAAGCAGGGCCUUUAUCGAAAACAUUUAGACUAUAACGCUAUGUUCAUCGGACGUGGGAGUUGUCCAUGAUGUUUUCCACCCAAAAUGACUUCUUUCAUAUCAAACACACAUCAUUUCUUAAUGACAUCAUUUUGAUGCCACUCAAAUUUAAUUACUUUAAAGGUUAGAUCACGUCAGGCGUAGAAGGCAUGUAAUUAAAAUUGAGUCUGUAAAUUAACUUCUAAUGAUUGAUUAUUUUGGCAUGCAUUGCGUCUCUGCUUUUGCAGUAAAAUUGUGUCCUUUAUAGUUUGCAUCAGAUGUUUGAGCUUGUGUGUGCAAAAUCAGAAAAAUAAGGGACUGCAAUAAAUCGACAAGGGAUUCGUGAAUUUUUUUUAAAUCAAAUUGCAGGAAAUAUACUAAAGCUAGUUAAAUGAACUCCUCUGCUAUGCGAGUAUGAGUUAAAAACAUCAAAAUGUAGACAGCAGAGCACCAUAUACCAUUUUUAAUAUCAUAAUUUAACAUAUGUAUGACAUAUCUAAUAAGUUUAAACUCUCAUUGUAAUGUAUUGAUACCAAACAGAAAUAUAAUAACUUAUUUAGAAGUAACUCUUUUUACUUAAAAGAUCUCGAUCAGAUUAUACAGCAGAUCAAGACUGUCAUUAUUGCAGGUAAAUUUUUCUUUCCAUCUCUAGUACUUGUUAAAUUGACUCCUUAGGUUUGGCAACAUUUCCAGAGUAGGAUUUGGAUCUCGAGUGCUGAAUACCGGCGGGCUAGCAGUCUGAUGAUAUUUAGGGAGUAAGAUUUCUCCUAAUACCUUCCACAACUAAUUCUUUAAGAUUCGUUAUAAUCAGCAUUUUUCCACUGAUUGUACAAAUGUAUUUAAGUCUUUGUAGAUUUGCUAAUUCGCCAACUUGCAGAGUUUGUCCAUAUCGAGCAAUUGAUAGUCUUAAGUUAAUCAAGUUAGUUCUCUGGGGAGAUAAUCAGAUUCAGCAAUAACAUAUUAUAUAAAGCAUUCGUCUUAAAUGUGAAAAACCAAGAUAACAUACCGGAGAACAAAUAAUUAAAAGAUCACAAAUUUUUUGCAUAGAAUCCCAAAAACAAUUCUCUUCUAACCAAGUCCACACACUCAAAGGCCCAAAACAAAAGGAAAUUAAACACCCACAAGUAAGCAAACCAAUUAUCCUUUCUCAAUUUCCAUCAAAUUCAAUGAAAGAUUCAAUAUUUAAAUUUCCUAUUUUGCCAACUGAACUCAUCACUGGAAUACUCUCAAGGCUUCCUGUGAAAGCCCUCUUGCAGUUCAGCGUGUUUCAAAGUCUUGGCUUGCUUUAAUCUCUAGCCCAGAAUUUAUCAAAACCCAUCUUAGUGUAUCUGCUAAUAGCAAAGAUUAUACACACCACAGGCUUGUGUUGAGUGGUGUUGACGCCUUUUACAAUCUCAAGGACUGUUCUCUUAGAUCUUUACUUAGUAGUGACUCUGUGACUGAGGCAUUUGACUUGGAUUAUCCCCAGAAUAACCCUACCCCCAAGAAAAUGUUUUGGUUGUGGGUUCGAUCAAUGGAUUGAUUUGUGUCGUCACUGGGGACACUGACUUGUUUCUAUGGAAUCCAUCAAUGAGAAAGUUCAAGAAAUUGCCUGAUGCUAGACCUAUUGGUACACCUGUUUGUUCUAAAUAUGGUUUUGGAUAUGAUGAGUCCCGUCAUGAUUAUAAGGUAGUAUUAGUUAUGUUUUUAUGAUUGAUGUAAGUUUGGAUCCUGUUAAGGUCAAAAUAUAUAGUCUAAAGAAUGAUUACUGGAGAACUUUUGUUGAGGAUUUUCAAGGUGGAAUGCGAUCCACUCAGGCGGGUAAGUUUGCAAAUGGGAAGCUUCAUUGGGCUACGGAUGAUGAUGACUGGAACAUCAUUUCUAUUGAUUCGGCUGAUGAGAAAUGGGGAAAGGUUGAGUAGUCCUGCUAUGGAGAAGGAUGUAGUCUUUUGCAUCUGGCAGUGUUGAGAAGUGAUCUUUAUGUCUGCUGUAGUUAUAUGAGUAGUCACACAGAUGUGUGGGUUAUGAAAGAGUAUGGGGUUAAAGAGUCUUGGAUUGUAUACCAUCAAAUAUCUUAGUGAUCUUGAGAAUACUUAUUUUUCUCGUUUGCUUCCUCCAACUCUUUGCAUGUCAAAAAAAGGUGAAAUAUUGCUUGUAAUUGGAUUAACUCUCAUGAUAAACAAUCCAAAGGAUGAAUCGUCCAGAUAUACAAAGGUUUCUGAGGUUCUUAACUGUUUCGCAACAAACAUCUACAUUGAAAGCCUAGUUUGGCCCCUUUUACAAAACGAACAAAGCACACAACAAGAAUGAAGGUUGCGAAAGCACAAACGAAUGACAAUGGUGUAGCUAAUGACUAGUUGAAUGCAGACGAAGCUCAGAACAAGCUUUUCCUUCCCUUGAAUAUCUGUUGUAUGUAGUAUCUUGAGAAUGUUGUGGCACAAGGUUGAACAAGCUUCUACAAUGCUUGAUUUCUUUUGUAUGCAGUAUCUUGAGAUUGAUUUUUAACUACAAGCAGAUCUUCCCUCUGCUACUUAUAUGUGUUGAUGAUGCUACUUAUGAUUUCUUCAACUUGUAAUGAAUAUCCAGUGAUACAUGGUGAAAGGAAGGACAUUAUAAAAGCUGUUGGUAAUUUGCUGAUAUAUGUUGGCAUUAGCAAAAAGGUUGAAUGAGGAGAAAGCAUUUAGCUGCUAUUAUCACGAGAGUAGAUUGGGAAUACCUGUGAACACGGAAUUCUAGGAGAAAUAGAUCGGGUAUGAAGCUUUAUUUAAUGGGAUCCUGUCGGCUCUAGAGUAUAUGAAAGUGCAAAUAUUUGUCAUCUUUGUCAUUUCAAACUGGAAGGUUCCCCAUAUAAUGAAUUCUCUUAUCUUGUUCUUGAUAGAGCUAAUUAUAUCAAAGUUGUCUUUUCAAGAAAAAAAAAAGUUGUCUUUUCAAGAAUCUUCAUACAUUCUGUUUGAAUCUUUCAUGAUAUUAAUAGUUCAAAAAGAACUAGGUGCUGGGUUUAGGUUGUGUAUCACAAAGUAAGAGAUGAAAAGCAUUGUCAAAGUAAAACUCCACUUCGUUAUGGUGUCAACUAUUUGUUGUGGCAUUGUGAAAAUCUGAUUCAAGCUAUGGUGUCAACUAUAUGUUGUGGCACUGUGGAAAUUUAAUUCAUGUUAAGAGCAACUAAUUCAUGGUAUCAACUAUUUGUUGUGGCAUAGUUUUUCUCCGUUCUUAAUGUUCAUUGAAUAUUCUCUUAUUUCCUUGUGCAUAGACAAAGACUUAUGUGUGUUCGCAAAUUGCGUAUCUCACUUUGUUG